rnacentral:lncRNA from 1 species
AUGUGUGGGAGCCUCAUCUGGCUUGACCCUGUGCAUGCUGCUACAGUCUCUUUGAGUACAUAUAUGUUUCAGUCCUGUUGUGUUGGCUUUUAUAACCUUUCCACUUUCUCUUCCCAUGGCUCCCUAUGCCCUGAGAGGGCAAGUUUGAUAAGGACUGUGUGUUCCAAAAUCUCUCAGUCUCUGUAUACUGUCCAGCUGUGGGGCCCUGUACCUUUUCUGAAAAGCAGUGCAUGUAGGUGCAUGGAUCUAAUUUUGAAUUCACUGAUCUGUUUGAUUAUUUUGUUUAUCUCAAUUGUCAAAACUUUAUAGAAAAAUCUGAAAAUUGGUUGGAUUUUUUUUCACCAUUUUACAUUGCUUUGGCUGCAUUAGGACUAUUGUAUUCCUACAAAAAUCUCAGAAUUAGUUUCUCAAUUUAUUUUUAAUUCUUAUAAAAAGAACAGUUGGGAAUUUUAAUACUGAUCUUGGGAGAUCUAUUUGUGGACAUUGAACAUCUUAAUACUGGAUCUGUAAGCAUGAAUAUAAGACAACAGUUUCCAUAUUUUCAAGUCUCCUUUAAUUACUUGGUAAUAUUUUCUCAUUUUCACUGUAGAGGAAUUUGUGUUUACCUGUGGGUUUGAUGCUGUUCUCACUACCCGAAGUAAUCUUUUUUACCCUUCCACUAGUGCAAGCUCACUCAUUCUCGUGUUUUGAAAGAAGUCUUUCCCACCCUCUCUGGAGCUGAGGAACCUACUACAGAAUUCCUAACAUCAAAGGAAUGAUGGUAGUCCUCAGAUGACUCCAGGCAUCCCUCCCUUCCAGGAUCGAAAGCUUGUAUAAUAAUUAUAGAGGGAAAAACAAAACACAAAGAAAGGAAGGGACCCCACUGAGCUCCCACACUUCUUCUCAGCAUGGCAUUCACCUGUGAUGGUUGUGGUUGGUAAUAGAUAUUGGUGCUGUGAUUGCUCAUUUAAAAUAAUUUUUGUUAUAACUGAAAACAUAGCCAAGACUCUUUCUCAUCCAGGACAAAUAAAAGGAACUGGGAUCAAGCAAGAGAAAGAUGGUUGCAAUGACAAUAAUUUCAGCAAGUGACCUGGUCUCACCCCAAAACUGCCCCCCCCCACCAUCUGUGUCUUCCAACAGAGCUCAUCUUUCAUUGACUUCUGGGGUUGACUCAGAGAGGCAGGGCUGUAACUAGUAAUAGCUAGGCUACUUCAUCUUAUCUGGGAGACAAGUUUCAGUCAUACAGGAAAUCAAAAUAUUUUCAGGACCCACAGACAAAAUAAUAAAGUGAUAAAUAUUUAGUCUCAUGGUUCAAGAGAAUUUGCAAUGAACAGAAAUUUCCAAAAAAAAAAAGCUAUGUGCCUGAGAAAUAGUUAAAAGCAUGUACUGUUCUUGAAGAGGAACUAAGGUUGGGUCCCAGCAUCAACACUGGGCAUCUCAAAAUGCUCGGAACCCCAGCUCCAGGGAAUAAAAUGCCCUCUUCUGGCCUCUGGGAGCACUUGCACUCAUGUCAUAUACCCACAUACAGGCACAGGCAUGUAAAAAAUCAAUAAGGGUAGAACAAGCUUUGCUACAUUCUUCACAUUUCCAGGGGUUCUCUGCAAUAUGAAAUCUAUGCAGGUAAUUUUAAAAGCCCCAUGAUCUUUAAAUUGCAAACACUUUAAAAGUUCAGUCUCUAAAGCAUCUAAGUCUCUUUCAAAGUUCAAGCCUCUCUAAAAUAUCCACUCUUUCUAAAAAUACCAAGCCUUUCUAAAACUCCAGAAUCUGUAAAAGUUCAGAAACAACUGUGGGCUCCUAUAAAAUCAAAAUAAGUGGAAUCCUUCCUUACUCCAUGAGGGAAGAAGCAGUGUGAAAAGUUAAGUGCUUAAUGCCUGGAACCCACCCAUGAGCUUCUGGGCUCCAAAGGACCUGUGCAGCUACUUCCAUUUCUCUGGCUCUGCCAUCACAGCACACAUAGCUCAUCUCAUAGGAUCAGUCUGGCUCCACCCCAUGGCUGCUUCUGUUCUUGGUGGUGGUCCCAUGCUACUGGCAUCUCCAAAACAUGGGGAUCUCCACCGCAGCUGGGCUGACUCUUCUCACUAGUGUCCACUAGGCUCUCUGCAAGCCUCAACUUCUCUGCAUGAUGCCUCAAUCCCAGGGCUUUUACUGCAGCUAAGACUGCACCUUCACCAAUAGCCUCUUAUGAUCCAAGCCCCAGCUUCUCUCAGUGACUCCUUCCUGUCUUCAAAAUCAAUAGCACCUGUGAAACUUACAAAUUAAAAAAUUAGCUAAGCAUUCAAAUCUGUUUUCCAAUACUUAUGAAAGAAACAUUACAUGUGUGUGCAUGCAGACACACAUGUACUUUUAUGUAGGGCACACGUCUAUGAUGAGUGUCUUCCUCAAAUGCCCUCUGCCUUAUUUUUGGAGACAAGGUCUCUCACAAAGCUUGCACCCAUUGAUUCUACUAACUGGCUACCAGUGAGUUUAUGUGUAUAAUUAUGAUAACUCCCUUGCUGGAAUUUUAGCUUUACAAUAUCUCAUUUAGGAUCCAGGAUUAUAGUUACGCUAUUUAAAUUAGUAUCUGGCACAUAUAGGAACUUCAUAAAUAUAAAGUAAGCAAUGUAUUCUAAUCCCUUCCCUAGUGGGGAAACAGAUAUUUAUUACUUCAUGUGUAUUUAAUGUUUGUUUACAUUGGGGUGGGUGUUGUUUAAUAUCCUUAAAAUCUAUCAAUUCAGUCCCAUUCUAAAGAAGACUGAGGGUGUGAUAGUUACUCUGUUAUACCAUCUCAAUCAUUUUUAUGAAAAGGAUACUGGACAGUUAUAUUCCCUGUUUGUGGAAGAAAAAACAGAAUAAGCUUACGCUGAAGUGAAGAGAGAAAUGUCUCCACAAAUGUCUGUUUGGUGUUUGCCAUUGUGAGCCUGUCCUGGUAUAGAGCAUAGUUCAAGCUAGUUGCUUAUGAGUAGCCAGUGAUUAAAAUAUUCUGAAUUACCAUCAAGGAAAUAAAACACAGGAUGUAGAGUACACAGAGAUAUGUCACAACCACUCUUCAAUGAGAAAAGUGUGCUCCUCAUAUGAGGGAGAACCAGACAUCAGGCUGCAUCUCAGUAGAGGUGAGGACCCCAAGACAAGUUUCCUGCUGUGCCUUGAACAGUCAGUUCCAUUAUUUGCCAAUAACAGGUAGUUAUAGUUUAGGAAUACUGUACAUAUUCUCAGAACACCUUUAUCUCUAAUUUUUUCUUGAUAAUGAGAAAAAUAAGCUAGAACUUCUUGGAUAUACAAGAAAAAUCAACUUGGGAUAAAAAUAUAUACAAUAUGGUUGGUAUACAUGACUAAGAAUUUACUAUAUAUAAUGUUAAUGGUGAAUUUUGUACAUAAUCAGGUUUACUGCAGUAAAAUUUUGUAAAUGAUCAUGUUAUUUAUUUCCUUGACCUAAAUGUAUUAUUCAUACUACAUCUUUUCUUUCUUUUUUUUUUUUUUUUCCCAAGACAGGGUUUCUCUGUAUUGUUUUGGAGUCUGUCCUGGGACUCACUCUGUAGACCAGGCUGGCCUUGAACUCACAGAGAUCUGCCUGCCUCUGCCUCCCAAGUGCUGGGAUUAGAGGCGUGUGCCACCAACGCCUGGCUCAUACUAUAUCUUUCAUAAGUCACCCAACAAUUUUUUUAUGUACAAUGGAACUGAAAACUUGUGUCAUUAGACCUGAGACUGGUAUUCUCUACAUCCAAAGGUCAAUAAUGGUGAAAUGUAGGGGAUGAUAAUGAUGUUCUUUCUAGAGGUUCUUAGCUAUUUGGAGGCAUGUUUAUUGCUGAAUUAAGAGCAGCCAAAUGCUUUGAGAAAGCAUCUCUGGGAUGGGGAAUGAAAUGGAGGGAGAGAACAUUUAGUUCAAUGACCAUAGCUCCAUGUCCUCUUUUGUCUUGCCCGAAGAGAGCAUCAUUGGAUUAUUUCUAGAAUUGUAUGACUGGAAAUAGCCUGUGUAGCUGUUAAACACGUAAUACAUUUCUAAUGUACCAUAAACACAUGACUGUGCGAAAGGAUAAUAGCUAUGAACUGACUUUCCUUGCUUUAAAUUAGAAAGCAUUUCAAAGUAUUACUAUUACACGAUGAUCAGUAGUCUGUAAGGUUAAGAUAUCUUAAUUUAAAUAAACACCAGCCAAAUGCAAGCCAGAGCGUGCCAGGCAGGCAGGCCAAAGAGAAGGGCUCCCAUGUGCCGUGCAGCCCCUUAAAAACCUAUUACGAAUCAUCCUGACCUCACCUUGACCACACCCUGACAGGCGUGGUCAGACACACCUGUAGCCAGCUUCUAGCAGGCGAGGCUUACACUGUCCCCUACAUAUGACUUUUAACUUGUGUUCCCCAUUAUUAUUGUUAGUAUGAUGGUAGUCAAAUUCCCAUUGGACCGGACAAUUUUAAUUAUGGAGUUUACAUCUUGUUUCCUAUGUCUAAGUAUUUCUAAAGUUCUCUUUCAUUCCAAGAAUAGUUUCUGCCAUCUCCUUAGCCACGAAUCUUGGAUGCAUUACUGAACUCAUAAGUGAUCUGAACAGAGUAAUUAUUGUCAAUUACUUCUGUAAUUGCUAACACCAUUAAUCUUCUUAACUAACAGACAGCAACUCUACCUGUUCUUUCUCAAAAUAGCCUUUGCUGGCCAUUUGCUCUUCUAUCCAAAAAUUAGGACCUGCUUGUCAUGCUCCAGAAAUUUUAUUUUUUUAUUUUUAUUUUAUUUUAUUUUAAUUUUAUUUUAUUUUUUGAGUAGGACUAACUGGAGAAGAAAUGGCAUUUUAGCAGUGUACAGUGUGGUUUCUGAACCUUCUGCAUAUGAGCAAUUUUACAAUGAAGAGUUUGGAAAUUUUAGCAAAUUUUAAAAAUAUACACAUUGAAACAAUCAUCUGGUUUUCUCCUUUUAGUA